rnacentral:lncRNA from 1 species
UCCAGUUUGCUUCUUUUUAUUCUUGUCGUUUUACAAAUAGGCAAUGUCAAAAAUUAAGAUUUAGGUCGAUAGCAUUGUUUAUUGGCAAAUAUAGGUAAUAUUUUCGAAACUUCGCGAAAAAUCGGUAAAAUUAUACAAAAGACAAUUAGAGCAGCAGUAUUCGUAUAAUUUUUUUAUUAUAAACUUUUUUUUAAUAUUAACAAAAUGUAAGACGUUUUGUAUCAACCUUAUUUGUUUGCAAUCUGCAAUGAUUUAAAACAUUGAUUUUCUAUUGUUCAUUGUAAUAAUUUUUUCCUAAAACCUUACCUAGGCCAACCAACGCGAAGAAGAAUACAAAAACCAAAUUAAGAACCUCACCACCCGUCUAAAGGAGGUACAGAUGGAGUGCUUUAACCAAGCUCUACUUAACAAUGCGCAUAAUGUUUUUGUUUUUCGUUUACUUGAAUUUUAGCAUGUAACGAUGAUUGAUGUUUCAGUGUUCUAAUGAUAUUUAUGAUUUUAUUUUGACUAACAUAGGCCACCCGCAAGGAAGACGAGUACUCGGUUACGUUAAAACAGGUGGAGCAGCAGUUGAGAGAGGCUGCUGUUACAAGAGAACACAGCGAAGACAUUAUCCGUGUCACCUCUGAUAAAUUGCGUGAAGUAAGUUUGCUGGCACUUUGGGUUGGGAUCUGUGAACAAUAAACAAUAAAGAAUUCAGAAUAAUUUAAUGUAUAUGAAAUAAAACGGCGCAUAUGAGUACUAUAAAUAUAAGUUUUAUUUUUUUUUUCUAAAAUAAAAUCCGCAAUAGCUUUACAUUUAUCUUCUCUGUGACCUUCUCUCUUGUUAUCUACUUUAUAUAUCACUCUUUGAUUUUCUGUUUUUGUUCAAAUUUUUUCUUCGCUUCUUUAUUCGUUCUUGAGUGUCCAAGUUUUCCUACAUUUAUAUACAGGAAACCAUA